AGGCCCGGAGUGUGGCGUUGAACGGCUAGUUGCAGGAAGCUGGCCGCUGGCGCAACGGCUAGUUGCAUUCAUGCUCCACCCCGUCCUUUUAAACACCUCGCUCAAAUCAUAUUCGCACUCCUCCUUCAACUCCUCAGUUCGCCCACCCAGCUCAACACCAUAUGUUCAUGCAAGUCACAGCUUAGCACCACGCCUUCUGUGUCGCACUACACCGCCAACCAGGUGCUCCCUCUCCCUCUCAUCUGUUACCCGGAGUGCAACGCCGGCUUCGUGAUGUGGUUUGUCUCACGGACGGUAGAAAACCCAGAGAGGCAUUUCUACAAGUGCGAAAGGCACGGAUUCGGCGGGUGCAGUUUUUGCAAGUGUGAGAACAAGUAAUACAGUACUUCAGCGCUAGUUGGGGACACCUGAUUUCCCAUGCAUCCGUCUAUCAUCAUGUAUCACUGCUUGAAUAUAAUCAAGCAUGGCUGAAGAACAUUUUGGUCCUCGGCGUCGUCGACCUGGUGCUCAUGGCCAUUAUUUGCAUGCUGAAGCUCUGAAUCUCAGCCCCAUCCCCAUAUGUAUCCAGCGUGAUGGAAUCGAUGUAGUUCACAUAUGUAUCCCGGGCGAUGUAUCUGCUUUAGCACCGUAUGGUUUUACCUAUCUGGUUUUCA